rnacentral:rRNA from 1 species
AACGAACGCUGGCGGCAGGCUUAACACAUGCAAGUCGAACGCUCGUAGCAAUACGGGAGUGGCGGACGGGUGAGUAACGCGUGGGAACGUGCCCUGAGGUACGGAAUAACUGAGGGAAACUUCAGCUAAUACCGUAUGAGCCCCGAGAGGGGGAAAGAUUUAUCGCCUUGGGAGCGGCCCGCGUCGGAUUAGCUAGUUGGUGGGGUAACGGCCUACCAAGGCUUCGAUCCGUAGCUGGUCUGAGAGGACGAUCAGCCACACUGGGACUGAGACACGGCCCAGACUCCUACGGGAGGCAGCAGUGGGGAAUCUUGCGCAAUGGGGGCAACCCUGACGCAGCAUGCCGCGUGAACGAUGAAGGCCUUAGGGUUGUAAAGUUCUUUUACCCGUGACGAUGAUGACGGUAACGGGGGAAUAAGCUCCGGCUAACUUCGUGCCAGCAGCCGCGGUAAUGUCUGUACU